rnacentral:rRNA from 1 species
GCAGGCCCUAACACAUGCAAGUCGAGCGGUAGAGAGAAGCUUGCUUCUCUUGAGAGCGGCGGACGGGUGAGUAAUGCCUAGGAAUCUGCCUGGUAGUGGGGGAUAACGUUCGGAAACGGACGCUAAUACCGCAUACGUCCUACGGGAGAAAGCAGGGGACCUUCGGGCCUUGCGCUAUCAGAUGAGCCUAGGUCGGAUUAGCUAGUUGGUGAGGUAAUGGCUCACCAAGGCGACGAUCCGUAACUGGUCUGAGAGGAUGAUCAGUCACACUGGAACUGAGACACGGUCCAGACUCCUACGGGAGGCAGCAGUGGGGAAUAUUGGACAAUGGGCGAAAGCCUGAUCCAGCCAUGCCGCGUGUGUGAAGAAGGUCUUCGGAUUGUAAAGCACUUUAAGUUGGGAGGAAGGGUUGUAGAUUAAUACUCUGCAAUUUUGACGUUACCGACAGAAUAAGCACCGGCUAACUCUGUGCCAGCAGCCGCGGUAAUACAGAGGGUGCAAGCGUUAAUCGGAAUUACUGGGCGUAAAGCGCGCGUAGGUGGUUUGUUAAGUUGGAUGUGAAAUCCCCGGGCUCAACCUGGGAACUGCAUUCAAAACUGACUGACUAGAGUAUGGUAGAGGGUGGUGGAAUUUUCCUGUGUAGCGGUGAAAUGCGUAGAUAUAGGAAGGAACACCAGUGGCGAAGG